UGCCAAGCAACUCCUAUCCCUACUUCCUCGUGGUACUGGCCGGGGUACGAGUAACCUUAGGGAAGAUCUGGUAACCAACCCCGUUGGGAACUUUGGUCGUAUGCUGACACGGAAGG
rnacentral:ribozyme from 1 species